rnacentral:lncRNA from 1 species
CGUCUCCUUGGAGACUCUGAGACCAGUUUAAUGUUUACAGACAAUGAGGAAGUGAACUCUGAUCGCAGGCGUUUGCAGUGUCGGUCCUCUGAGGGUCAGACGGAGGGACCUGAACGGACCGUGGUCUGCUGCCUGUGGAGAUGAAGGUGGAGGAGAAGCUGGAGGUGAAGGUGGAGCUGCUGAAGUUCUGCUUGGCAGUCUUUAACACCGUGUUUCUGAGGAGGUGCAGGUGGUGUCCGUGGGCCUGCUGGUGAUCGGUGGUGUUGGCGGUCAGCGUGGCAGCGACCUGUGAGAUCAGGUUCCUACUGCUGACGGGCGGCUGCUGUGGCAGAACCGGUGCUGCUGAUUGGCUGAGCAACACCUACAUCCAGAGCCUGAACCUGACGAGUCCAGACGUGCUUCCGUGUUCCUGCUUUCACUCGUUUCAGCGCAGCGUCAACUCUUCCUGGUGCUCCGAGCUGCUGAACCUCACUCUGAUUGGCCAAGGGAGCGGCACAAGCUCGCUCCUGAGGGGGCGCCGGCGGCUCUAAACCUGCUGUGUUUCAUAUCGCUGGUGUGAUGUGAUGUUUUACCCAUGAUGCUGCUGGGUUUGUGGUUUUCAGGGCUGCAGUCAGACGUUCAGUGAUUGGCUGCAGGAGAACUCCCUGACCAUCAUCGCCAUGGACGUCGCCCUGCAGUUACUGCAGGUGGUGCUGUUCGUCAUGGUGGUGUAUCUGUACCGUGCAUUUGGAGAAGGCCGCGCUCUGAAACGGACCGAUCUGCUGGCUGGCAGAGACCACGCCCCCACCGAUGACCUGGGGGAGCUGAACUACGCCUACAAUGACCAGGUUGGAGCUUACAUAGACCCCCAUCACCUGCCUUAUCACCACGAUGACCACGGCCAGGUGUAUGUGGACCAAGUGCAGAGCUACUAACCUGCUACAAACAUUAUAGGCUCAGGUUCUGGUUCUGGAAACAUGAGCCUCCAACCAGCCUGCGGUCUUAUACCCUCUGUUAUCCAACAGACACAGCUUCUCAGAAUACACACACACAUCUUAGAGCAGGCACAAGCACAAUCAUAUUUCACAGUAACAUAUCAUGGAUGAGAUCAUCGGAGUGACAUCACAUAUAUGUCCAUAGUAAGACAUCUAUAAACACACCAACACCUGUGUGGAAAACAACGAACGAUGGCAAAAACACAGCUAACACUACACAACCAAUACUAAAACAACACAACUGGGGAGAUGACGUACACAGGCAGGCUAAGUCUAUACGUGUGAAGCUUGAAAUUUGUAGGAGGAG